AUUUAUUUCAUUUGCCGGGCAGUGGGAGCGCGAAAAUCUCAGCUUGACCCGCUAGUAAUUCUCCGGCGAGCUCAGUCGAAAUCCCACCGGAGUUGAUCGCACCCGGACCUAUUUGCUCCGUUGUCAACUGUUUUUCUCCAAGCAAUGGCAGGGACUGGGCUGAUAAAGCUUUAUGGUGAACAUCCAACAUUAACCGAAGCUUCUCUAUACAGGGCUGGCGACAUCUUUACAAGGAAGAGAGGUGGCAGAUCUGGAUGAUGCCUUGGCCCAAGCAAUUGAUAUUGGUGAAAAUGACUGAAUUCAUGGGCCAAAUCAUCUUAAUCUCAGUUCAAAUGAGGCAUGAAGGUUUGCAUUUUUAACAUUUAAGAGGUUUUCUUGAGUCUUUUAUAGAGGGACUAUUAAGGCUUUCAAUAAAUAUAUAUA